AUUGAACGCUGGCGGCAGGCUUAACACAUGCAAGUCGAGCGGGGUGAUGGUGCUUGCACUAUCACUUAGCGGCGGACGGGUGAGUAAUGCUUAGGAAUCUGCCUAUCAGUGGGGGACAACAUCUCGAAAGGGAUGCUAAUACCGCAUACGUCCUACGGGAGAAAGCAGGGGAUCACUUGUGACCUUGCGCUAAUAGAUGAGACUAAGUCGGAUUAGCUAGUUGGUGGGGUAAAGGCCUACCAAGGCGACGAUCUGUAGCGGGUCUGAGAGGAUGAUCCGCCACACUGGGACGGAGACACGGCCCAGACUCCUACGGGAGGCAGCAGUGGGGAAUAUUGGACAAUGGGGGGAACCCUGAUCCAGCCAUGCCGCGUGUGUGAAGAAGGCCUUAUGGUUGUAAAGCACUUUAAGCGAGGAGGAGGCUCUUUUGGUUAAUACCCAAGAUGAGUGGACGUUACUCGCAGAAUAAGCACCGGCUAACUCUGUGCCAGCAGCCGCCGUAA
rnacentral:rRNA from 1 species